GGGGGGGAAGGGAACGAAAUAGAAAUAGAACAGGGUCAUCGACCGCGCAAUUGAUAAUCAAGUAGAAGCAAAACAAGGCAAAAUUGGAAAAAGAAAUGAUAUUUGUACAAAACAAGGGGAAAAUCAGUGUAACAGAAGAGAAUCAAAGUGUUUUUGAGAUCAGAAAAUUGAAUCAAGAAAAGGGUUGCUUGAUCCAAUGAAAUGCAAACAGCUGGUGGCAAAAGGGAACGAAGCUAAAUAAGAAAACGGCUAGCACGAGCAGUGACCACGAUAAAUAGAAGCAAAGUGUGUAUGAGAUCAAAAGACGAAAAUCAGGAGAGGUUUUCUUGACUGAGAAUUGAAGGCAAAGAGUAGGAGCUGACGAAUACGGGGAUCAAGAGGGAAAAACUGCUUGCUCGUAAAACUACUUUCAAGCGAAUCUGAUAAAAUUAUUUCAAUACUCAUGGGCGACUCCUUUUUAAACUGCAGAAGGAAAAAAAAAAAAAAAAAAAGAGUUCUGAAUUUCAAUAUAUUAAUUUUUAUCCUAAUUUAUGUUGAGAUUCGUAAUCUCGUCUCAAUGAUUAAUUAGUAGAUAUUCUUUCUAACAAAUAUGUGUUGAAUAGAUAUAUUUCUUGACUAUUAGUAAGUUAGAUAUAUUUUGGCAUAGGAAUGAAAGUACCAAGUUGUGUCAUAUUAGAAUAAAAAUUUGAGCUAAAAAUAUUUUUCUAUGACCUUUUAAUUAUUUGUCAGCAAAUAAUUAAGUCAUAUAAAAAAAUUAAUAAUCUGAAUUAGUCUUUAAGUAUUAUAAAUAUUAUUUUUAUUUUUAAUUAUAAUAUCAUUAUUUAAAAAUAAUUGCUUGACUUAUAUUAGUAACAUUACGAUUGUCAUAAAACAUGUGAUCCUGAUCCAAUAUCCAUUAUUUGUGAUCCUUAAUCAAUAAAAUAUCUAACAAUAUCUUCACCUAAAGUUUGAGACAUGUGAUCCUUAUUCCACUGCGUCAAUUACACUCCAGACCAAUGCUGCCGUCAUUAUCGAACGGUCGAUAUCCAACACUUGCACGAAGAUUCCAAGAAGUUGCGUGGCUGCCGACUUUUAGAUGCAAAGCCUCAUUGUGUCGAUGUUACACAAAAGAGAGCAAGUCCGGGUAAUUGCCGAAACUUAGAACUAAACAGUAGCUUAGUCAGAAAAUCAAACGCCAGUAACCGUUAAAAUGACCGAUAAAAAUAUAAAGAAACCAAAGCUUUAAAAGAAAUCAGCCAAAUCACGAAGAUUGAAGAGUAAAUCUAUGGUUUUAGAUUUUUAUUUUAUUUUUUUAGAUAAUAGAUAUUAUUUUGAUGAAUUUUUAAUAUUAGAAUAAUGUUAGGAAUUUCGAUAGUAGAUUUCUAACUUGAGAUCCAAUUGUUAUGUAUCAUUUUUUUAUUGGAUAAUGAAUUUCAUAACUAGUAAAAUUAAUAUUUCGAUCAUCUAAUAAAUGACUAUCAUAUCAGUUGAGACUCAAUUAUUGGGAUCCUUAACAUUGCUCUUACUAUUAAAUUGGACAUCUUAGCUAAAUCAAAUUAGAUUUUAGGCUUUUAUCCAACAUCUCUUUUUUUUUUUUUUUGGUCUAUUUGAAGUGAACGAAAUAAAAAUACAACAGGUUCAACGACUGGGCAAUUGAUAGUCAAGUAGAAACAAAUCAAGGCUAAAUGGGAAAGAGAAAUGAUAUUUGUGCAAAACAAGGAGAAAAUCAGUGUAACUGAAGAGAAUCAAAGUGCUUUUGAGAUAAAAAAAAAUUGAAGCAAGAAAAGGGUCGCUUGAUUGAAUGAAAAUGCUAAGAGCUGAUGGCAAAAGAGAACAAUGUUAAAUAAGAAAACAGCUAGCUCUAGCAGCGACCACAAUAAACAGAAAAGUUGAGAUGGAUUUACAAUAUUUCUGUCUUUCUUCAUGCUUUAACAAAUAUUGCUCUAUAAAAAAAAAUAUUGAGCGUUUUUAUUAUUGGAAUCACAAAAGACCUACACAAUAUAGCAAGUGACUAGGAAUAAAUAAGAAUAUAUAACUCUCUCUCUCAUUCUCACUCUAGCUUUUAAUUGUCACUCAAAACCCAUAAUUCUUCCUUAAAGUGUAAGCAAAUAAGAGAUGACAGCGUCUGGUUGUCAUACGCGCCUUUUAGUUUUCGGAUGACAUGGGGUACACUUCUUCUGUAAACCGAACACGACAUGUCGUACUCUUUGUUUUGAGAUCAUAUUUCAAACUCUUCAUGCUAUGAAUGAAAGAUAAACUACAAUCAUCAAAAUAUUUAGUGUUUAUUUGGUAAUGUAAUGUCAUAGUUGUUGUGAAUUGAAAUUAUUUAUGUAAGAUAAAAGGAUUUGGGUCAUCGUUUGUUAUUCUCUGGCAAUAUUGUUUGGCCGUGACUACUUGAAAUUAUUUCUGUAAGAUAAAAGGAUUUGGGUCAUUGUUUGUUAUUCUCUGGCAAUAUUGUCUGGCCGUGACUAUUUGUUAAAUAUUUAAAAAAUAAAUUUAUAUUUAUUAAGUAUAAAAAAAAUAAACAAACAAAAAUAAAAGGAAAAGUUUAUACAUUACAUAAAAUAAUAAGAACAAUAUCAAUAUUUCACACUCUAUAAUUGAGUGAUGUGUUGUCCAACUGCCAUACUGAUAAACAGUGAACUCGAAACUCAAGUACUACAAGUCGUUUAGAGGAUUCAGUCUCGGAUGACUUGUCACUUGUAGAAGUUCCUGAAGCCAGAACCGACAUAAUCUUAGUCAUCUGUUCUAUCUUUAGUAGUACACGUGGUUUGCACAUGUGUUGAAGCUAACUCUUGCUUGGAUCAAGAAACGACGUCUCUGAGUGCAGUUUCUUAAUCACACUUAAAUCAGCGUGUGACAAGCACGUGAGGCAGAGCUUCUUGGAUAGAUUUGGCGGGAAUGGUAGUUGGCGUAACAACCCAGAAACAGAGGAUAAAAAGGUGCAGGCUUUGUCAUCGUCUUCACAUGAUUUGGGAAACACUGAGAGUAGAGAGAAGAUAGAGAGAGAAAGGGGUUUACAAGUUCUUGUUCUCUGUAAAUCAAUUCCUAUUCUUGUAUUGUUUUGUGAACGAAAUAGUGAAAGACUGUUGCUUUGUUUCCAGUGGAUGUAAGCACCACUUCUUGGUGCUGAACCACUUAUGCUUGGUGUCUUGUUUGUGAUCUUGAAAACUUUGAUUCGUGUGUGUAUUUGUUGCUGAAUAGUCUGUGUUAAUCAUUCUUAAAACCAUCGAUACAGAACUAAGUGUCUUGGGGAGAAUUUGGUUAAUCUUAUCAAAGCCAAAUUCACAACACAUACAUUGGUCCCAAACAGAGACUUAAAUAUUAAAGUCCAAAGUUAUUGUGAUGAUGACUUAUAAUCGCCAAACUUGACAUAGGGGUAAUCAUGCAUUAUAAGGUGCUGAUUUCUUCCGAUCAGAACCUUAUUUUUCAUUUACAAAUAAAUAAAUGAUGUGACUUCACGGUUGGCGGGGUCCUUUGUGUCAUUUGGGCAUUUCACUAAAUGAUUGAUUGCAGCAGGAAGAUUCCUGGAAGUUGCCAUUUGCCAAUGCUACUAACAUUUUCAAACUUGGAAAACCCUUCAAUCAAUCUUUUAGUGGUAGGCUCUGGUAGCUUGGUUUGAUUAUGACAUAUGAUUAUUUGAUAAUAAAGCUAGAGGAUGUAUUAAUAUAAAAUUUGUUUAUUGGUGUUGAAGUUAAUUAUCUCAUUAAUAAUGGUAUAAAAAGUUAAUUACUAAGAAACACAUAGCAGUAUUCUGGGAUAUAAUUUUAUAUCAUAACUUUGUAAGUGUAUAAUUACGCAUUAAAUUAACAAAAUUAUUUUAAAAUAUUUCGUUAGAAAAAAUAAAUUAUAUUCUUUUUAUUUCAAAUAAUCUAUAAGUUAACUCAAAACAUAAUCAAGUUGAGAAUUAAAAUAAUGCUACUGUAUGAGAGGAUUUUUAUUUUUUCCCGAAGUUUCACUAGGAAAUUAUUGAUAUAUAGCUUUAUUCGGAUCAUCUGAGUUCAAACGACAAAUAAUUGAAAGACUAAAGUAAAUAGACCAGCCAACAACUUUGUACAGCAGAGUUCAAAAAUUAAGGUCAUGGUAUUGAGGUGUUUUGUCUUGAAAAGUACGGCAUAAUGAUAAAAUAAAAACUAUUAGUCUUUGGUAAGAUAUAACUUUUAAAUAAUAAUUUUCACAAAAAUACAAAGAAUAUUUUAUAAAGUACUUCUAUAGUGAGGAGACCCUCACUUUGUUAAAGUGAAAAUAUCAAUAAUAUACAAGAAACAUAUAUUCUAACAUAUUGAGAACUGUAUCUUUUUAAUCUAUUAGUGUAUUGAAAUAUGUGUUAUUUAGUUUGUUAGUGAUAUCAUCACUUUGUUAAAAUACGGAUGUCAGAACCAUUAUAUUUUAAAGUUUUACUUCAUUGCUUUAUUAAUCUUAUUACUAUUUCUCCUUUGCACUUCUAAAGAAACCAAUUAACCAAAGCUUUAAAAGAAAUCAGCCAAAUCACGAAGAUUGAAGAGUAAAUCUAUGGUUUUAGAUUUUUAUUUUAUUUUUUAGAUAAUAGAUAUUAUUUUGAUGAAUUUUUAAUAUUAGAAUAAUGUUAGAAAUUUCAAUAGUAGAAUUCUAACUUAGGACCCAAUUGUUAUGUGUCAUUAUUUUAUUAGAUAAUGAAUUUCAUAACUAGUAAAAUUAAUAUUUCGAUCAUCUAAUAAAUGACUAUCAUAUCAGUUGAGACUCAAUUAUUGGGAUCCUUAACAUUGCUCUUAGUAUUAAAUUGGACAUCUUAGCUAAAUCAGAUUAAAAAUCAAAUUAGAUUUUUUGCUUUUAUCCAACAUCUCUUUUUUUUUUUGGGGUCUAUUUGAAGUGAACGAAAUAAAAAUACAACAGGGUCAACGACUGGGUAAUUGAUAGUCAAGUAGAAGCAAAUCAAGGCUAAAUGGGAAAGAGAAAUGAUAUUUGUACAAAAUAAGGAGAAAAUCAAUGUAACAGAAUUACAGAAGAGAAUCAAAGUGCUUUUGAGAUCAGAAAUUGAAGCAAGAAAAGGGUCGCUUGAUCCAAUAAAAAUGCAAAGAGCUGAUGGCAAAAGGGAACAAAGUUAAAUAAGAAAAUAGCUAGCGCUAGCAGCGACCACAAUAAACAUAAAAAGUUGAGAUGGAUUUACAAUAUUUCUGUCUUUCUUCAUGCUUUAACAAAUAUUGCUCUAUAAAAAAAAUAUUGAGCAUUUUUAUUAUUGGAGUCACAAAAGACCUACACAAUAUAGCAAGUGACUAGGAAUAAGAAUAUAUAACUCUCUCUCUAAUUCUCACUCUAGCUUUUAAUUGUCACUCAAAACCCAGAAUUUAUCCUUAAAGUGUAAGCAAAUCAAAGAUGACAGCGUUUGGUUGUCAUACGUGCCUUUUAGUUUCUGGAUGACAUGGCGCACACUUCUUCUGGAAACCCAACACUACAUGUCGUACUCUUUUGUUUUGAGAUCGUAUUUCAAACUCUUCAUGCUAUGAAUGAAAGAUAAUCUACAAUCAUCAAAAUAUUUAGUGUUUAUUUGGUAAUGUAACGUCAUAGUUGUUGUGAAUUGAAGUUAUUUCUGUAAGAUAAAAGGAUUUGGGUCAUCGUUUGUUAUUAUCUGGCAAUAUUGUCUGGCCGUGACUAUUUGUUAAAUAUUAAAAAAAUAAAUUUAUAUUUAUUAAGUAUAAAAAAUAAAUAAACAAACAAAAAUAAAAGGAAAAGUUUAUACAUUACGUAAAAUAAUAAGAACAACAUCAAUAUUUCAUACUCUAUGAUUGAGUGAUGUGUUGUCCAACUGCCAUACAUUGGUCCCAAAUGGAGACUUAAAUAUCAAAGUCCAAAGUUAUUGUGAUGAUGACUUAUAAUCGCCAAACUUGACAUACGAGUAAUCAUGCAUUAUAAGGUGCUGAUUUCUUCCGAUCGGAACCUUAUUUUUCAUUUACAAAUAAAUAAAUGAUGUGACUUCAUGGUUGGCGGGGUCCUUUGUGUCAUUUGGGCAUUUCACUAAAUGAUUGAUUGUAGUAGGAAGAUUCCUGGAAGUUGCCAUUUGCCAAUGCUACUAACAUUUUCAAACUUGGAAAACCCUUCAAUCAAUCUUUUAGUGGUAGGCUCUGGUAGCUUGGUUUGAUUAUGACAUAUGAUUAUUUGAUAAUAAAGCUAGAGGAUGUAUUAAUAUAAAAUUUGUUUAUUGGUGUUGAAGUUAAUUAUCUCAUUAAUAAUGGUAUAAAAAGUUAAUUACUAAGAAACAAAUAGCAGUAGUUAAUUGGUGUCAUAUUAUUGGGAUUCUGGGAUAUAAUUUUAUAUCAUAACUUUGUAAGUGUAUACUUACUCAUCAAACUAAUAAAAUUAUUUAAAAAUUUCAGUUGGAAAAAAUAAAUUAUAUUAUUUUCAUUUCAAAUAAUCUAUAAGUUAACUCAAAACAUAAUCAAGCUGAGAAUUAAAAUAAUGCUACUGUAUGAGAGGAUUUUUAUUUUUUCCCGAAGUUUCACUAGGAAAUUAUUGACACAUAGCUUUAUUCGGAUCAUCUCAGUUCAAACGACAAAUAAUUGAAAGACUAAGCUAAAUAGACUAGCCAACAACUUUGCACAAGAGAGUUCAAAAAUUAAGGUCAUGGUAUUAAGGUGUUCUAUCUUGAAAAGUAUAGCGUAGUAAUAAAAUAAAAACUAAUAGUCUUUGGUAAGAUAUAACAUUUAAAUAAUAAUUUUCACAAAAAUACAAAGAAUAUUUAUAAAGUACUUCUAUAGUGAGGACACCCUCACUUUGUUAAAGUGAAAAUAUCAAUAAUAUACAAAAGACAUAUAUUUUAACACAUUAAAAAUUGUAUUUUUUUUUAUCUAUUGGUGUAUUGAAAUAUGUGUUAUUUAGUUUGUUAAUGAUAUCAUUACUUUGUUAAAAUGAGAAUGUCGUUACUAGAGAAUCAUUAUAUAUACAUAUAUAAAGUGCCUCUGUCCAAGACCUAGACUUUAUUAACAUUUAAGAAAGCAAAUAUAUUUUAUAUGGUAUAAUAGUGUAAUAACAUCACACAAUUAUAUCAUAUAGAGUAAUAGUUUUUCGAACUUUAAUAAAGUUCAAGAUUAUAGAAUGAAUGAUUUUUAUAUAUUAUAAAUUUUUUUAUCAUAAAUGGAGGACAAAAUUAACAUAUUUUCAAAUUAUAAUAAGUAUUUAUCAAAUAAUUUAACAUUGCAAUUUCUCCUAACUAGUAUAGUAAAUAAUACGACCUAGGAGAUACAUUCAAAGCAUUUCAUAAGUUAGUUGUUAAUAAUAAAUGAUAUAUGCAGCUCCAAUCAUCAUUGUACGGUGAGUAAUUUCCAGUUAUAAAUAGAUAUUACUCCCUUCCCAGCAAUUUUUGAUGACUUAAUUUAGUGGGAUCAAAAUCAACAUUGAAUUUUUGACCAGCUGCCAACAACUUGUGAGCAGUUCACAGUGGGUACUGCACAUGAUGCCUGUUUCUCCUUUUGCAUCUAUUUUUGUUGUUAACAUUAAUUUCAAUAGCAGCUCGUUAAUCCCAAUUGUUGAUUUGGGACUAGAUAAGAAUUUAUCUUGGAACUCCAAUUCUCCCAAUUAUUUUAGUUGACAAUAUAUUUAACAUUAUUAAUUGCAUAUUAUUUAAUUAUCAGUAUAUAAUAUUCUUUAAUUUUCUAAUUUUAUAGGAUUAGACACAAAAUUGAUUAUGCCUUUUGAAAUUUAAGGGUUAUGUCAAUUGAAUAGAAAACUUGGAGGUAAACUUGUGGAUGUUUUUGUUGAUUAUCAAUUUAUGCAUGAAUUUUUGUACGUUUACUUUGGUUUAUAAUUAUUACUUUUAAAUAUUUUUGUUGGUUUGAUUUAGGGUCAAUUUGGUAAUCCUGUAGCUUUUAAAAUAAUUACAAUUAGUUAUGCUGUAGAAAUUGAUCAAUCGUCAAGAGAAUCAGCUGAACAUUUAGUAAAAUUUAUUUUUAAAAGUACUUUUAGUUUUAAAAGCGUUGUAUGAAUAAAACUGUUACACUAAAAAUUAAAUGUAUUGCCCACAUGGGUAAAUAAAGCUAUAUAUUACAACUGUUACACUAAAAAUUAAAUGUAUCUUAAACCCAAACUUCUUCUUCCUUUUUUUUUUUACUAACAAAAUUAAAAACAAUAGUGAACACAUUCUUUAAUAAACAAUAAGUAAUAAAUAAAAUCGUGUUAAAUUUCUUAAAAACUUUCUUUCACGGUUUGCUAAAUAUUUUUAUUAGUAUUUUAAAUAAAUAAAAAUAGUUGAUUUAAUUUUUUUAAAUAAACUUAUUAGGUUCAUGUAAAGAUGUUUUUGUUAUUUUAAAAAGUGUAGAAAGUACUCCUAAAAAAAAGCGUAGAAAGUAAAACUUAAUUUUUUAAAUUUAUUUGCUGAGUGCAUAAAUAAUUGAGUGUUCAUAAUGAUUUUUAAAGUAUAGAUAGUCGGACCCUAAUUUUUUAAUAUAUGAAAAUUUUGCUAAUAUGUUAAUGAGAAUUAAAAAGAUAAUUAAGGGAGGCAAUCGAGACAUUCAGGAUAGUUAGGAUGGGACAUGAUUGUGAGUGGUUUGAUAUUGGUCCUAAUUUUGAUCACAAAUAUAUAAACAGGACGAGUUUAUCUCUACUGACAUUCCAUUUGAUAAUUAAGAUGAGAGCGGAAUUGUCAAAUCUCAAAUCAUCCUGAACCAUUGCCAUCAAAGGUACUCUCACUAAUAAUAUCUAAAGAAAAAUCUACAUCUAUUUCAUACUUUUUUUUUUUAAACGGAAAGAGCCUUCAUGGGGCUUGAAAUGUUAUCCCAAAUAGUAUUAAGAAUAUCAAGCCAUGAUUGGGUUUGAGACAAACAAAUAUUACAUAGUUAGGAUACGUAGUUAUAGUGUCCCAAUUUAUGUAGUAUCUAUCAUUUAGUGCACAUAUAAAAUAUUAAUCAGCUUAAUUAAUUUAUAAAAUUUAAAUCUAAUUAAUAAGUGAUACAUAAAAGCCAAGUGCAAUAUUGUAUAUGCAAAACAUGUUUGUGGAUCAUUACAAAACUUGCUCUUGAAAACAAGCAAGAAAGCUUAAUUAAGAACUUAAAACAAAAAGAAUUAGAUUGAAAACAGUCAAGCUUUAUUUUUUCAAGGAUGGAGCUUAUAAAUCUUCAAGUACCAACAUAUGCUUGGCCCAAUUGUUGUUAUUAAAAUUUCAAUAUACAUAUAUAAGUAUGAUAUAGCAAAAAUUUGAUGGUACAUAUCUCGGAAUAUACUAGUUCAUGGAUGCAUUUGAUUAUUGUUUCCAUAAAUUUGAACCGGGAAGGAUGACAUGAUAAAAUUUGAUUUUAUGGUAUGGUUGAUUUCAGAUCUCAUGCCCUCAUUUCUUAAGAUAAUCAAAUUUUCUCUGGCAUCUUUUGCAACUGUGGAAAUAUCAAUUAUGAUCAAUCAAAACGAUUUCAAAACCUUUUAACGAGACAUAUUUAUAAUACAAUAUUGUGAAAAUUACAACAAAAAAUUAAUUUAUUAAAUAAUAUAUUAUUAUCCAACGAGCACACAAAAAUGAAUUCGUACAAAUCUAAAAUACUUAGCAAUUUUCAAAUAGAAUUUACCAUGUACUACAAGAAAAUAGGGUAUAUGUGACCCCUAAUGUGAAUGCAAAUUUGCAAAAGCAGCCAUUACGCAUGCCACUAACUUCUAACUUUGCAACCUCGAGUUGCUUACUUGCUUUUGUUACCCUUUAUGUGACGGCCACACUGCUGUCACAUAUGUUACUAACCACGUGACGGUAAAGAGCCGUUCGGUAUAGCACUAUUUUAGAAAUUUAAAUUUAUUUCCAGUUAGAAAACUAUUCGCUGGAAUAGCCACCAUCGUAAACCUAACUGGUUGCCGGCGAACGGCGUAAAACACCGGGCAUCUUCUUCUUCAUCGUAUUCUCCCUUCAUCUUUUGAGGUAAGCUUGUGAUUAUGAGUUUCUUCUCUGACUUAGCUUGUAAUUAUAGAUUUUGAUUUUUUUUUUUAAAUUCGUAUUGUAGCCAUUAUUGUCAAUUUUUGUCCCGCCAGCAAUAUUUUUUUAUUCCUACAAGUUGAAGCCCCUGUGUUCUUGUUCCAUUGGUGAGUUUGCUCACUCAAAUUAAUUUUGUUCUGCGGAAUUUACAAAGUUCAAAUGGAUUCAUUUGAAUUACUAUUGAAUUUAGCUUUAAUUCCAACAUCCAUUCUAAUGUUUUGCUAUUAGAUUUAGUUUAAUUUUAUGUUUAAAGCAUCUACAAUGAAUAGCGGAGCUUGGGUUUUAGUUUCAUUUUCUGGAUAACUUGUUUUAGUUUAUCUUGUAUGCUCACCAAGUGCUUGUUAUAUUGUCUGAUAAGUUAUAUACAUUGCUGAUUCUAUAUUAAUAAUGUUACGUUCUAUUUUCAGAAAUUAUAAUACAAAAGUUUUUACAAUGGCGUGCAUCUACAAACUGAAUUGACUUGUAGAAUAAGAGCUUGCAGUAAAUGAAAGUUCAUAUUGUGUAAGAGCAUGGAGAUGUAAAGCAUCAUUACCAUAUCUACAAAGUGCUUUCAUUAUGGUCAGAUGCUCUUCUUGAACUUUGAAAGGUGCCUCGUUCAAGUCCUAGCUAUAACUACUAGCUUUGAUUAAUUAAGUUCCAAUACUAGCUGAAACAGAUUUAUUUAAUUAAUUAAUUGUGUAUAUACUAAUUAUAUUGAAAGUAUAUGAAACUUUUUUUUUUUUUAAACAUGAAUGACUUCUAAAUGACUUAAAAACCUAAAGGAUGUGUGAAAUAAUGCUCAUUUCACUUGAAUGAGCCUAUUAAUACUUUCUAUGAUUGUCAAUAUUGGCUUAAGCAUUUCAGUUAAGUGGUUUACCUAACAGAGAAAAAAAUUUAAUAGAAAACUUCAGAGUUCUAACAGAAAUAUAGUUCACUCUGCAGAUAUAGUUAUUUUACGGUAUACAAAUUAAGUUGUCCUAAUCUCAAUGUCCUGUGACCGAUUUUAUUUUAUAUAGUCAUUAAUUUUUGCCAUGGUUUUUUGUGUUUAUGAGUAUGAAAUAGUGGGAUUUGGUGUACCUUAGCAUCUUUUGAAAAUUCUCUUUAAGUAUGGCCAACAGAAAUAUACAUAUAAUCAAGUUUCUUAAUUGUGUAUAUUAGUUUUGGGUACGAAUGUUCCUAUUCUAGUUCUAGACAAAGCUUCUUUGUUUUGGUCUUCAGAUUUCCAGUAGGUUAAGUUAAUCAACUAUCAUAACUGGCUAGCUACUUAUUGUCUGCCUUGGCGCCAUUACCCAGGCCAUUAUAUUGCAUAGCAUAAGGAAUAGUGAUUAGGUGAUUAUUAGUGAUUUGUUGAGCUUAUUAUUGACCAAACAAACAUAUUCGCCUUUGCCCACAACCUAGUUUGAUUAGUUUUAGACCACAAAGAGCCUUGAUCUAUUCAUUGGCUUUAUUAUUUUUAUUUGGUUUUUCUUUCAACAAUAUUUUUGAUUUCUUAUAAAAAUAUUCAUUGGUUUUUAAACACCUAGUCAUUGGCUAUAUGAAGCAAAUUAAAACUGAGGCUUUGGAUCAAUUUCUUCUAACAAGAUACAAAUGAGCAUAACCUUUCUCCUCUAAGUAAUUUUUUUUAAUAUCCUUGAUUUGUAAGGAUCUGGAGGCCUGAAAUCCUCUAGAUUUUUUUUAACACUGUCAAUGUCCUUUUUAUUCUGAAAAGGAAAUAAAAGGUUUUAUCUUUCAUACCCUAAUAGUAGGCUGGCCUUGUCUUAACAUGGCUUCUUGAGGAUUUGCAAGAUUCAUAGUUCCCCCAACACACGCCCCCCAAAAAAAAAGAAGAAAAAGAAAGAAAAAAGAAAAAAGGAAGAUUUUGCAAGAUUCACCACCAGUUUUUUUUUUUAAUUUAUUAAUUGUGUGUACGUACUAGUUAUAUGUUGAAAGAAUAGGCAGAAGUAUUUCAACAUGAAUGACAUAAAACUUAUUGCUCAGUAAACAUAAUCUGCAUCAGUGGGAAAAUGUAUUUAUCGUUUGUAUUUUUUAUGGUUUUGCUUAAGAAAUGAUAUGUGAAAUAAUGCUACAUUGUAUCAGGAAUAAAUUGAAGAGAUUUAUGAUAUUUAUGUGUUAUUCAAAUUUCAGAUUCAAUUUUAAACUUUUGAUACGUGCAUUGAAAGCUUAGACUUGUUUAAGAAAUUAUUAAUAGACACAUGUUGUAUUAGUGUCAUCUUUGGAUGAUAGUGAGGAUCAUAUGUCUAUUAAUAAUUCUUGAAUUGUCCAGGCUUGGACAGUUUGGGAAUGCAUAGUUCUCUCUGGUAGCUAGUAGCUGAAGUUUUCUUCCCACGUAAAAAUGGCUUUUUCGGUAGCUGCUCCUCGUGUUCUCUGGGUACGUACUAGGUGAAUGGGUGUCAUGUGUUGUUUUGGCAUAACGCAUAAACACUUAUAUAGCUUUGUCGUGAGCUUGGAGAAUUAUAGGGAGAUGGUGCUGAAAUUUUUAUAAACGUAGAAGAAAACUUUAGGUACUUGAGAUUGAAAAAACAUAUGCAUUCUUGAGUGGGAUAUGUAGGAUUUAUCACUUACCUUUGGUAAAUAUGAAGGGAAUGUUGACUCCUUGAAAUAUGCCCAAACCCAUGGAGUAUCUAAAUAAGUCUGAAAACCAAACACUGUUACCUACUAGACGACAAAGCAGAAAAAUUUUCUUGACUCGCUCACCUUUUAAAUAAUUGAAACUCAGCUCAAUACUUGAAUAAGUUUCUGCAGGCACAUCUUCGAAGUUUACCAUUGAAGGCGUUCGGAGCUCUCGCAAGGCAUUCUUCCAUUCAUGGAGACUCUAGUUUCUCAGUGCCCUCAACGCAAUGGGCAAACCUCCAUAUGCCUUAACUACAUUAAUUGCUGUAGACUUGAACUUACAAUUUUCAACAUCAUCACCAUUCAUUAUCUUAAACAAUCUCCAGGCUUCUUGUUCAGUUAGAUUGCCAAUCAAAAAGUUAUCUUUGGAGUCCAUACUUAAAAGCACAUUAUUAUCUCUUGCUGUCAGCAAUAGUCUACAUCCUUUAUGAUUAUUUCCAAAAGGAAUUCCAACCGUCUCCAAAUCAAGAUGUUUCCAGAUAUUAUCUAGAAUCACAAGAAUCUUAUUCUCACUCUUCAAUCGUUCAUACAGCCUACUAGCUCUUCUAUAUUCAGCUUCAUCGGACAACUCCAGACCUAACUUCUCUGCAAUUUCCCCUUGAAUCUUUUUUAUCUCUGGAGUUUAUGAAACCUCUGAUAAAACCACCCCAUAAAACAGCUUUUUUCCCUGGCUUGCCUAGCAAACUCUUUCACCAGUGUGGUCUUUCCAAUGCCGCCUAUGCCGUACACCCCAAUAAUGCUGACAUUCGCCUCCGUCAAUGCAUUUUUAAUAGACUGCAAAGUAGAAAGUCUUGAUUCGAAGGCCUCGUAACCACUGCUAGACUUAAGCCAUAUCUCCUCCGGAAUGGUACGGUGGGAAACAGUAUCAAACUUCUUAACUUCUUCUCCAAGUUCAAUAAUGGCCUUCACCUCCGUCUCUGCUUUCUUGCUAAGCUGAUAGCGACUCUUCCAAUGAGGACUCAAGCCCUUGACACAGCGCUUAUUCGUUGACUCCUCAUCUUCAAUGAAUUUGGCUGCCCGGUCAAUGAUGCCGUUCGCACUUCGCAGUAACCAGCCACUUUUCAACCUUCUCUUCAAUCUCUUCCCCUUUUUCUUUCGCCUCUGAAACCCUGCGCUGAAUGCUCGUAUGUUCAACCUUCAACUUCUCCAUUUCCGCCUUGAUAUUCUCAAAGUUGGCAUUGUAGUUCCAAAUAAACAAGUUGGCGUGCAGUUGGAGGAGCCAAGCAUUUUACAAGUUCCAAGACGAUAGUCACAAUGAUUUCCAGCAUCUCGAAUCCUGACAAAAACGUAGAAGCGAAGAAAGCCAAAGGAAAGUAAAAACAAAGAGACAGCGAUAGGACAAGCAAUUGUGUUUUUCAGAUGAGAUGAAGGAAACAAGAAAAGGGUUUCUAUCACGACGUAAAGAGCUAAAAGAGCUGAUGGGUACAGAAUAAGAAAUGAGACUGAGGAGUGAGCAAAGCUAAAUAAUAACAGAACAAGAACAAUGACGAAUAGAAGAAACAGUAGCAAAGAGCCGUUUAGAUGAUUAGAAUGAAACUAAGCGACUGGAAAUAGUAGAUGGUAGACUAAAGAGAAAGUGAUUGAUUAUUUUAGGAGGCCAAUUAACGUAAUGACAGAUCCGGUUUCGAUGUUUGUAAUUUGAGUAUGAGGUAAAUCGAUUCUUUGUCGAGCCAGUCAAAUACAAAGGCAAAUUAGUAAAACACGAGCCAGCAACUUUUACUCACACAAAAGCCAAUAAUAUAUUGAGAUCACGCAACAUUGCAAUAAAGUUAUCAUCAAGUUGUAGCCUUCUUAUUCAAUCAAUUAUGGCAUUAUCUCUAGCUCUGUAUUUUUCAAAAAAAAAAUUAUUAUUCAAAAGAUGUCUGUCAUUAAUUUUUCAAUGAUUAAAAUUAUAAUUUUUGUUUAAUAUAUAUAACGUAAAAUUUUAAAAGAAUCAGACAUGCAUUAGGGUUAAAAUAAAAAAUAUGGAGGUAGCUUUUAACUAGGUAAUUGGCUCAACUAUGGAUCAGUGUGAGAUCACUAUUUUUCUUAUUAAAAAAAAUUCCAGCCAAACAAUUGUCGCAAAAUCUUAAUAUAAAUUACAAAAAAAGACAAUAUUUUCUAAAAUCAUAGCAAUAAUUUAUAUUUUGAAUACCUGUAAAUAAACCACUUAGAAAGCUUUCGAAACACGAAUAUUGUUGUCGUUUUUAAAGACUUGACAUUUUGGGUAAUCUGAAUUAACAAUGCACAUCACUUGUUUGUCACAAUGUCCAAAUAAAUAAUUUUAAAAAAAAGUUAUUUUCAUUCUUUCUUUUCAGGUAUCCUAAUUCCUUUUGCAGUUUGAUUCCUCUUUUCCUGAAUUUCACACAGCGCACCCACAUUUUUUGACCAUGUGCACCUCCCCCUAUUUCUAUUAAAAAAUCAACUAAUCUAACUGUUUAGGCUGUUAUAAAUUUAAAAGACUAUACUACCCUUAUUUUGAAUGAAUUGGGUAUAUAAGUACUAAAAUACCCUUACAACUAAUAAAAUUUAAAUCAAAAAGUAAAAAUUUAUUAUAAUAUUUUUAAAUUUAUAUGUAUACGAUUUUUUCCCGGAUUACAAACCCAAGAUUAUAAACCUAGUAAAUUACAAAAUCAGAGGCAAAGCAUGAUUCCAAUGUGAAAGAAAAAAAUCAAACACACAUUCAUCAGUACAUUACAAAAUAAAUCCGAUAAUCCCACCAAAACAAAUAAAACCCAAUAGAAAGAAACCCUAAACUAAUGAUACCAAAAUCCCUGAGAGCAAAUUUCAUUGUAAAAUUCUAUUACAAAAUAAAUUCAUACUAAGAAAAUUCAAUAAAAAGAAACCCAAUAAUCAAAAAUCUUAAAACUAAAGAUAUCAAACCCAAAAUUAAAUUAUAGAGGUGGCGAAAGAAAAAGGGUUUUUUUAAUUAUAUAUAUUAUUUUAAUCUUGUGUUAAUUACCAUUCUACCCUUCUUUCCGUUAACAUUAGAUUUGAAAGAAAUGAGGGUGGUGGACAUGGUCUGUAGAUUGGGGGCACAAUGCAAAAUGUCAAAACAAUUGGGGCUAAUGCUAAAUUACACAUUAUUUAAAUUAAAUUAUCCUAAUUGUAUUUUUAUUAAUUAAUUAACAAUUAGUUUCAUUACUAUGAUAGUUUUGUCACUAUGUUUGUUACCAUCUCUCAAAAAAAAAAAAAAUUACUUUUACAUGUCGAAUUGUGUAACAACGAUUUAAUGAAAAAUUAGAAAACAGCACGACAUCUCGUGGCUUAACAUGGUCAUCAUGAAUAUCCCUUAUUAUUAAAAAAUGAACAAACAAACUCUUUUUUAAUACAUGUAGUCCUUUUUUUUAUAUUUCAAAAUAGUUAAACAGAUCCUGAAUUUGUGUGUUCCUCAAUAAAUUUUCAUGAUCAUUUUUUAAAAUAAGGGAUUUUUGUGAUUAUUUUGCCACGUCCAAGGAUGCCGCUGUUCUUGUCACCAAAAAUUAUUCUCAUAAGAGUCAUGAUUAAUUGGACGUCAGCAAUGAGGGCAUGUAAUGAAAAAAAUUUGUUUUGCAUGGGAUCCAAUAAUUUUAAUUACAAUGGUGGUGACAGACCCAGCUGGAAAAUCAACUGAUUUUAGAAUUCUGUUGAAAAUUCUUUAAAUGAUCACUAUAUCUCUAGUUCGAUUAUAUCCUUAAGCUCAUUGAUUCUUUUGUAUUGAUUUUGUUACUUCUUUUCUAAGAAAUAUUAUAAGAACUGCUCAGGCUGUAAGAUUGAUAAGCUUAAAGAGUCGGAACGAGGCUUACCAGUUCGUAAGCUUUUAAUUAUUUGGAUUGCUGUGCUUGCAACUGGUAAAUUUUUCAACUUCAACUCGAUAUAAUGAUUUUGGAGAGAACCAUUUACAGUGAUUUUCAAUUCUUUUGUGAUUUUUUUUUUCAGUUCUGCCAGUCUCAUCUCUCUUUCCCUUCCUUUAUUUUAUGGUGAGUGGAUUAUUAUUGCCUUCAGCGCAGUGGUUAUUAGUGAGAAAAUUUAUAUUUUCCUAUCAAGCUUGGUGAUUUUCUGAGAAAUAUAAGAAAAGACAAGUUUUAUAUGUCAAAUAAUUCAUUGCUUUUUCACAGCAGUCAUUUAUGAUUUCUUUUCAGAUUAGGGAUUUUCACAUUGCAAAAAGGGAGGAAGAUAUUGGAUUCUAUGCUGGUUACGUGGGUGAGUUAUUCUAUGUUUUUUUUUAUCGUAUUUAAUAAAUGACACACAGUAUGGAGUCCGUCUUGGGUACGAAUGUCCACACCUUAUAAAGUGCUGACUCACGCCUUUACAACUCUGGGAAGACAUUCUACCGAGACUUUACAUCACUGUAAACGCACUGUACAAGAGCUUUACAAUACGGACCCGCGUCUUUACAACUUUAAAGGGCCAAGUCUAUGCUUUAAAAAGUACAUAUGUUCGCACCUGGAAACGAUUUACAUAUGUAUGUAUAUAUGUAUAUAUGUAUGUAUGUGUGUGUAUAUAUAUGUAUGUAUGUAUGUGUGUGUGUGUGUGUGUAUGUAUGUACGACCAAUAAAACAGUUCAAAUUCCUCGAGAAGUUAUCCUAACAAGCAUCUUAAUACCUUGAUGAAAUUGAAGGGUCUUAAUACAUGCUUGGCAGAGCUCUAACAUCUGUUUUGUGGGGAAUGGUGGCUGACCGCUGUGGUCGAAAGCCUGUAAUAAUAAUAGGAAGCAUCACAGUGUUAGUGACUUCUAUUUUCAUAUGAUCAAGCUUGAAAUUGAUGAUACUUCGGCAAUUUCUGGAUUUCUUGUCUGUCUUAAAAUGCUCACAGGGUUAUUUUUAACACUCUUUUUGGGCUUAGUGUGAAUUUCUGGAUGGCCAUAGCUACAAGGUUUCUCCUUGGGGCUUUGAAUGGUUUACUUGGACCAAUAAAGGUAUUGAUUGGGGGUAUUUGUUGAUAAUUCCAAUUUAAUUCCUGCAAAUAUUUGUGCUCAAACUUCUCUUACACCACGAGGCAUAUGCAUGUGAAAUAUUGCGCGAUCAGCACCAAACUUAUUACGAAACCAAAAAUGUUACUUGUUUUCUGUACUUGCUUUCGCAUGCAUCACCCCCACAAAACUGCUUGACGAUUGUCCUCAUUUUGAACUUACUAUAGGUUUCAUUCUCCUUGUUUUUCAACUUACUCUGUACCCUUACGUCGAGAGGAUUAUUGGGCCAAUAAUCAUAACACGAAUUGCAGGGGGUAAUAUUUUGAACACCUCAUGCGGCAUUUGGACCAUUUGAUAGUUUGUUUCAAACAUAUCUGUUUAUAAAAUACUUUUCUUCAUGGUUUUGGUCCCAUAACUUUCUAUGUAUGUACAGGUUUUAUCGAUACCGCUUUUGACAAGUUACACUUACAUAGCAAUGCUAUCUGGGUUCAGCCUUGCCUUUUUGAUAAACUGUGCUUCUGUGAUGAAGAAUGUUUUAUCUGUAAGUGGAUAUCCUAAUCAUUGAUCCAUAUACUAAGGUUAUAUUAUCCAUCAGCAAGUAUGUAUAAAAUUAUUUUGUCUUUUUUAUUAGAAUUUUUGUAAUUCUUUUUUACUUUUCCUGAAUUGUAGCAUCAGGUGUCUAUAAUAACUGGAUCGUUCCUUCUGCAAAUCAGAGCAGUGGUAAAUAUAUUUUCUUUUGUUUGUUUAGUACAUUUCCAUGCUUUCAGCUUUUUCAAAUUUUGUAUGUGCCAAAGUUUAAAUUAAUUGGUUGGUUUAUGGUAUAAUAACAGGUAUGAUAAUUUACUAAUGAAAUUUCUCACUAGUUUGUGAAUUACUUGGUGCUAAUUAGCUUAAUCAGCUGCUUAAACUAAAGUGCAGGUAACCAGAUGAUUUUUUUCAUUCUGAAUUCGGUGGAGGCACUUGGAGUAAUAUUGACAUUCAAACCGUUUCUAACUCAACGUGCCCCGUGAGUGGAGAAAAGAUGCAUCUGUUGAAAUAUUCAAAUAUAUAUCAAGCAAAUUAAAGCUUUCAAAAUCUUUCAACAAUUUGAUUGUUUGAUGUGGUUGCCACUUGCCAUAUUUUGUGUUACUUUUCUAAAGGCUUAAAUAUGAAAAUGGUUGUUGGUGCUCACGCCAAUUGAUUGCUGGUAACAUUAAUUGUGCAGUACUUGUCAGAACUACCACAAUUUAUCUUCACAAUGAUGCUAGCUAGAAAGAAAAUUUCAUGUUAAGUAAAAUAUUGAAGCCAUAAAGAGUCUUAUUCCAGAGCCUCAUUAAGUACUAAGUUUUCUGCCAUGCUUUCAAAGUUUACAAAUUCGAAGCUUGGGGAUUCUGUAACAAUGGAGGAUAAAAAUUAUAUAAGAAUAUUUUUUGUACAAUUUUCAUACGACCAGACAGAAGCGAGCAUAAUUUUUUGAUCAUAACUCAGAUCAAAAGACCUUCAAUGAUGUAUAAUAUGCACAUAAAGCUAGCUCAGAACCAGACAUUAAAACUUAUGAUGAAAGGGAAACAUAGAUGUUGAGAUUGAAAACAUAGAGAAAUUUUUUUAAAAAAUCUGAAAUUUUAUUAAUAGAAGUUUGAAUAACAAAAUUAGGGUAUUGGACCCUUUUUAUACAAAUUCUAAAUAUUAUGUAUUUAUCAAAAUAGGCAAACUUGAAAUAUUAUUACAUAAUAACGUUCUCCUAACUGAAAUAAAAAAAAUAAAACAAAUCAUACUUAAAAUCUUAUAUUUAGAGAAAAAAUAUAAAAAUAUUGAAAAUAAUAAGAAAAAUAAGAAAAUAACUUAAACUUUGUAAAAUAACUACGAAAUAAACAGAAUUUCUUGCCGAAUAGAUACCCGCUCAAGUUAUGAUCUAGGAGUGAUAUCCUACUCAUCCUAUGCAACCAUCAGCUGCAUCAACUUCAUUCCAAAAUUAACAAAUAAACCAACUGACGCAUUGCAAAUAAUAAGAUGAAACGAUAAAAUAAACCUAGAGAUCAAACAACACAAGGUAAUAUAUUAAAAAGCCUAUGGGAUCAAAACACAUCGUACUAUGUCGAGAGAGAUGACGACUCCUCCAACAGCAGAAAAUAAAUUCUUUCAUUCAUUAAUUUAAAGUAAAUUUGGUGCUCCAUCUUCUUCUCCGUCACCUAUUACCACCUCUGUCAUUGCCCUGCAUCCAGCUACCUUCAUUGAUACGAGCCGCACUAGACUUUCUGCUGUAGUGGACGGAUGUUACAAUUCCUUGCAAUGGAAAAUCAACAGUUCUGUUAGAUUCCCAAAAGAUAUAGAUGAUCAUGGGAAUAGACUUAAAUGCUUGUAAAAUAGUCGUAGAAUGUCAAGAUAUUUAAAAUGGAGUCCAGUUUGGAGUUGCUUCAAUGAUUAAGUCUGGACAGGAUUAACCAUUUUAUCAGUGCCUACUUCCCCACUUGUUUUUAGCAGUAUCCGGCUUGAUUUAAGAAUCUCUUUGUAUGAACUAUAUUACCCAAAAAAAAAAAAAAUCUUAUUUCAAAUGAUGCACAGGAGAAGAGUUACUUGAAUCUUCAUCAGUAUCCAGACAUUCUACAAUCACAGAGUAAAGAGUUCUAGCAGGAAAAACUGAGAAAACAACGUACUUCUAUAGUUUUUCACAAUAUUUCCAACGUUUUCAAACAAUAUUUCCACAAUAUAGUUUUUCAUAGCGAAGAGUUUUGCUUUGGUGGUCUAAGGAUUUGUUCUAGGCAUAAUGCUCUGAUUAGAUUUUGUUUAUUUUUAAUUUUUUAUCCGAUGAAUGAUUUUCAGCUGGUCUUAAUUAUGUGUUCAUAGGGAAGAGCAUUUGGAAAGAUCAUCAAAAAAAAAAAAAAAAAAAGUUUCCAAAGAAAGAUAGGUGUGAAGCAAACCAAACUAAAUGAACAAACUAAAAUAACAGAACAGCAAUGAUGUUUUCAAGGAAUUAUAAAAUAUGAAGGCUUUUAAUGAAAUUUUAUCAUACAAAGUAUGCAAGGAAUUAUAAAAUUUUAGAAAACAAGGGGAACUCUCAAAAAAAGAAAAAAAGAAAAAAAUACUCAAAUUAAACUAGACUAGAAGACAUUCAAUGAUGCAAAAUCUGUCCACAAAAGUCUGAACGAAUCAUUAAAAUUG
rnacentral:lncRNA from 1 species